UGGGGAAUAUUGGGCAAUGGGGGAAACCCUGACCCAGCAACGCCGCGUGAAGGAAGAAGGCUUUCGGGUUGUAAACUUCUUUGACGAGGGAAGAAAAAAAUGACGGUACCUCGAAAACAAGCCACGGCUAACUACGUGCCAGCAGCCGCGGUAAUACGUAGGUGGCAAGCGUUGUCCGGAUUUACUGGGUGUAAAGGGCGUGUAGGCGGGAGGCCAAGUCAGAUGUGAAAUGCCAGGGCUUAACCCUGGAGCUGCAUUUGAAACUGGUUUUCUUGAGUGAUGGAGAGGCAGGCGGAAUUCCUAGUGUAGCGGUGAAAUGCGUAGAUAUUAGGAGGAACACCAGUGGCGAAGGCGGCCUGCUGGACAUUAACUGACGCUGAGGCGCGAAAGCGUGGGGAGCAAACAGG
rnacentral:rRNA from 2 species